UUAUUCGCCGCCGUGAUCUGCGGAUACUUCACAAGACCCCCAAACGUCGUCGUCGCUAUGUUGUACAGCGUGUCGUCCUUUUUUAUCUUAUAAAGCGGAACCCGGUCCGAGAGUCCCGUCCCGUUGAGGCACCUGCACGGCAACGGCACCUUCACAACCUCGCUGGGCCCCACCUCGUGGCGCUUUGUGGUGUUGCUUGGGAGGUUGUUCGCGCCUAGGAUGUCCACAAGUUUCUUCACGUUGAAGAGGGUUUGGAUGUCGCCCAGGGUGGUGCCGUUCACGUGAGAGUACCCAAUCAGGGCGCCACAGGCGGAGUUAUUCGCGCUGUUGCACACGAAUUUGGCCUCCGGUUGGGCCUCUACAGUCGCCACCACCGCGAUUGCUACCACCGCUAUAACUUUGACCAUCCAAACAGCCCCUUUCCCCGCGCCCAUUUUGUUCUAGUG
rnacentral:lncRNA from 1 species